GCCGAGGUGGCGGAACUGGUAUACGCGCCGGUCUCAAAAACCGGUGGGGUGUAAACCCCGUGUGGGUUCGAGUCCCACUCUCGGCA
rnacentral:tRNA from 1 species